rnacentral:rRNA from 4 species
GGGACGAGCCCAGCACCGAAUCCCCCGGCAUGCAGCCGGCGGGAAAUGUGGUGUGUGGGACGCCAACUGUCGUCCGCGCUGGAGACCGAAGUCCUCCUGAUCGGGGCCUCUCCCACAGCGGGUGUCAGGCCUUUACCGGUCUCCGGCCGGGCGGCUGCGAGCGUCUCAGGAGUCGGGUUGUUUGGGAAUGCAGCCCAAAGCGGGUGGUAAACUCCAUCUAAG